AUACUUACCUGGCCAGGGAGAUGCCAUAAUUACGAAGGUGAUUUUUCCAGGACAAGGUUUUCCCAUUGCAUUUGGAUGUGCUGAAGCUUGUGACUUUCCCAAAUGUGGGAAACUUGACUUCAUAAUUUGUGGUAGUGGGGGAUAUAUUUGCGCUCUCCUCUG